UACGUAGGGGGCAAGCGUUGUCCGGAUAUAUUGGGCGUAAAGAGCGUGUAGGCGGUCAGGUAGGUCGGUUGUGAAAACUGGAGGCUCAACCUUCAGAGGUCGACCGAAACCCCCUGGCUAGAGUCCGGGAGAGGAGAGUGGAAUUCCUGGUGUAGCGGUGAAAUGCGCAGAUAUCAGGAAGAACACCCGUGGCGAAAGCGGCUCUCUGGAACGGUACUGACGCUGAGACGCGAAAGCGUGGGGAGCGAACAGG
rnacentral:rRNA from 1 species